AGGCGUGUCCCUAAUAUUGCUUCUUCGAAUUUCGAAACCACCAUGCUCCCAAAGUUGUCAUCCCGCCGGACCUGCCAAAGUUAUACCACGAAUUCUCGAAUAAUACCAGUGGUGUGGGUUUCAAAUCAGUAGCAGUCAAUAUCAAAAUUGAAUGGUUUUUCAUAUAUUAUGUGUUUUUUGCAUUUACUAAUGCUCAAAACUAGAAUUAAUCCAUGUUGAAUACAUCACCACCAUUGGUGUUCUUUGUCACCCUGUUCCACUAAAUUUAAUAUUGUUUAAAAACAAGACCGAGUCGGCAUCUAAAUAAACCACCAAAAUGUGCAAAAAUGCACAGACUAUAACAUAUAAAAGUGUUAAAGCUCAGCUAAUUGGGGCUCAUUGUCAAUUUUCCUUCCAAAGUUGAAAUUUAAAGUUUUGGGUACCAAACAGUCUUGAACAAAAACAUUCAUAGUUGGUAAACCUACCGCAGAUGGGCUCAUAAAAGGUGUUCAUCAUAAUAAAAAUUAAAUUUUCUUUCCCGAUAAGCAUGUUUUAUUGCAGUUUCGGUGUCAUAAGAUAUAUUUUUUUGGUCUAGAAUGUGAGAGCUUCCUUGCUGCCAAAAGUCACACUGUAACAAUCAAUGGAAUAUUACUAAGAAAUAAAACCGAGUCGGCAUCUAUUUAUAGUACAAUAAUAUACAAAAUUAAAUUUUCUAUCUGCUGGUGUAAGGUUUUAUACAAAAUAAAUUGGGGCUCAGUACGAAAUUCGAUGUUAAAAACUGCAGACCAUGAUUAUCACCUGCAGCUGCGCACAGUUUACUGUACUGCUAUCGCUAGCGAACGCCAGCGCUCUCAUUUGAUUGGUUUAACGGCAUGUUCGCUGCUGACGGAGAACAUCCCUGAUUUUUGAAUUUGUUUUGAUUAGUCCGAUUAGGCACAUUGGAAUUCGGUUAAAAUUCAAUUUAAAAUUGUGCAGCUUGUUGAUGGUAGAAGUUGUGAAGUGCAUAACAUAAAAGAGUUGUGUAGAGAUUGUAUGGGGUGUUGGCGUUUUUGUAGUUUCCUUUUUCUUGUGCUCUUUUGAGAUCUUUGCAGGGGUUGGAAAUUUGGAAUCACAAUGCCACCAGGAAACAGUGUUAUUUUGUUUUCAUGCCACAGUUAUGGGCAACACGGCAGGGCAAAGUUUGCCUCAAGUCCUGGCUCGUUCGUAGCCUUGAUUUGCAUUCAAGAAAGCAGGUCUGUGUCCGAAUGGAUGCUGCACAUUUUUUAUAUUCUUCAAAGCAAUCGAGGUUCAUUUGCCGAUGCUGCAUGGAGUAUGCGAAGCAAAGCAGUGUCAUGCUGACGCGGAGACGAAGACGUUGUAUCUGGCGGUGGUUCUGGAGAUAGCGCGGUUCGAUUCAGCUGUGGGCCGGACGUCACCCAGCAGAAAUGGCAGCGUGUUAUCACCAGCUACGAGGCGCGCAUACAGACAUUGUCCAGAAACAAUCACGUCAUCUCCAGGCAGUCAGCUGAGUCAGAUCCAGGACCAGCUCCAGAGCCUGAACCUGUCAUUGAAGGCCGUCAGGCACCACCUAUCCUUCACUGUACAAUCCUUCGGUGUUACAAGUUACAACCAGAUUAAUUGCUUUAUGCUCCACUCAGUCUGCUGUUUGACCAUAAUGGGCUGUUUGAAUGGCAUGGCAUAUUGUGUCAUAAGGAAAAAAUAUAGCAUUGCAGUUAAAGGCCUACUUGCAUUACUAUGCUUCCAGUGAAUGCUCUGAAUAUUUCUUGGUGAGUUAAAUAGAUUACCUUAGGGAUAUUCAGCAUAGGACUUGAAAAUAAUAUGGUCCCUAAUGAGUCAUUAACUCUUUACUGUGUUUCAGAGCGCCACGCGACCACGAUGGGACUGCCAACGAUGGCCUGCUCAUCGACAGUGCUCCCCGCCAGCCGGCGGCGUUCCGCCAGCCAACGGGCUUCCGCCAGCCAACGGCGUUCUGCCCGCCGAUGGUGGCCCGACGACCGACGGUCGCUCGCCGGCCGAAGGUGAUCCGGUAGCCGAACGAGGCUCGCCGACCGACGCCGGCCCGCCCGCCGACGGCGCCCUGCCAGCCGACCGCGUCCCGUUCGCCGACGGCGUCGAUACGCCGGCGCGCGUAUCGACAUUGAUCAGAAACGAUCACAUUAUGUCCAGGUCAUUAGUCGCGGGCGCUCGAGCUGACGGUGUCGUCUGACGGCUCCACGGUGACCAGCGCCGCCUCCGCCGAGAACAUCCGACUCCUGAAAUGCUAAUGGUCGUACACGAACAAGAGGCUCUAAACAUCCAGGUGCAGGAUAAGCGCCAUGCUCAGAGGCGUCAUCUGGAGAAGGCCGCACAGUGCACUUAAGGCUGAGCUCGGGUGUAGUGCGCGCAGACAGAUAUGAUCAACUGACGGGCCGGCCAUCAGAUUUCAGUACGGAACUCAAGAUGAUUGGAGCCGACGUGGUUCGGUUGAUGGUGUGUCAGGGUUGAUUGAGAGUGGAGGCGAGACACCCGGAUCUGUGAAUGAUACGCCGAUACGGAUCUCGACGUCGUCUCGCAAUUUGUGCUAUGUUAUAUGACGGCUAUGCCGUGGUAUCAUUCACUCUCGAUGCGCUAAUAAAUAAUAAAUAGGACAGAGAUUGGAAUUAAGAUUAUUAUAUUUGGAUGUAAGGGGCAGGUUUUGGCCAGCGCUAUAUUAGAAAUCGUGAGCGUGCUAGUUGCAAUCAAUCGCGCGCUUCUUGCUGAACAUCUGUGAGCGAGAAAAUACUUUCUCUGGAACGUUCGUCGUAAAAUAUGUGUAUCUUUGGAAUAAGUUGUCAGAACAUGAAUGCAUUUUCGGUGUCCACUGCAGCUGCUGUUCUGGAACAGAAACAUGCCGAGAUCGGCUGUGUAGGUAUGUACUAUGUACGCUGUGGCAAAAUCAAGCAGCCGUACCAUGAAUCAAAAGCGAUAUGUGAAUUAAAGUGGAUAUAUUUCACUAUUUUUUCAGUUUUAUCAUACAGAUCACAGAAAUGCGUCAAAUACUGAUCACACCCGGUUCCAAACAACUAAACGCUUGCGAUCACUGGAAAGUAAAUAAACAAUAGAUACCCA
rnacentral:misc_RNA from 1 species